rnacentral:rRNA from 1 species
AGAGUUUGAUCCUGGCUCAGGAUGAACGCUAGCUACAGGCUUAACACAUGCAAGUCGAGGGGCAGCAUUUUAGUUUGCUUGCAAACUGAAGAUGGCGACCGGCGCACGGGUGAGUAACACGUAUCCAACCUGCCGAUAACUCCGGAAUAGCCUUUCGAAAGAAAGAUUAAUACCGGAUAGCAUACGAAUAUCGCAUGAUAUUUUUAUUAAAGAAUUUCGGUUAUCGAUGGGGAUGCGUUCCAUUAGUUUGUUGGCGGGGUAACGGCCCACCAAGACUACGAUGGAUAGGGGUUCUGAGAGGAAGGUCCCCCACAUUGGAACUGAGACACGGUCCAAACUCCUACGGGAGGCAGCAGUGAGGAAUAUUGGUCAAUGGGCGAGAGCCUGAACCAGCCAAGUAGCGUGAAGGAUGAAGGCUCUAUGGGUCGUAAACUUCUUUUAUAUGGGAAUAAAGUUUUCCACGUGUGGAAUUUUGUAUGUACCAUA